GAAAAAUCAUUCGGAUGGGAGGUAGACAACGAAUAAAAGUCACGUGAAAAGGGGAACCCAUUUUCAGAAAACAUUAAGCCGAUGUUGUGUUAUUUUAAAACGGGGCAGACGAAGCUGUCGCAUUCCGAGCUGCUCUGUUGGUACUGGUUCUUUACUGACCGCUAGAUGCCACUGACUUCAAUUGAUUUUGUCAUAAGGUACAGACUCCAUAAUAAAACAUGGCGAAACAAAUUGUUGCUAUUCUAUUUUAUACUUAUUUUUCUGUGAUUCCAAAUACCGAAUUGAACUUCGUUUGUAAAGUCUGUCAGUCAUUCCAGCAAGUUGACUUAGUGCUCAGUCGCUUUCCAUCCAUUGGAUCCUUAUGCUGUCAAAAGCCUGAAACUCUUAUUUGAAGCCCACAUACAGUGCAACUAGACAAAUGUGCCAAGAUAAGGUAUCCUUUCUUAUGGACCAUAGGAUCUUUAUUUCCGAAUCUUAUAUGUAACCUGUGACUGCAUGUUUGUUAUGACGACCGCUUCUACAUCCAUUUAGAAGGCAACCCUGAGAGAUAGUGUCCCAGUUUCAGUGACAUGAAGAGUGUGAAGUGCCUGCCAUGCGCUUGUACAUUUACAAGACCUAUUUGAUGAAAGUCAAAUGCCUUACUGAAUUUGUCUCCCAAAAGCAUUAUUCUCACCUUUUACCAUGCUACCAUUGACUGAGAAGUUGCACACACCUGCAGUCACUCGCCACAGUAU